UACGUAGGGGACAAGCGUUGUCCGGAUUUAUUGGGCGUAAAGAGCGUGUAGGCGGCUUGGUAGGUCUCGCGUCAAAACCUGAGGCUCAACCUCAGUUCGCGUGGGAAACCACCUAGCUAGAGUCCGGAAGAGGAGAACGGAAUUCCCAGUGUAGCGGUGAAAUGCGCAGAUAUUGGGAAGAACACCAGUGGCGAAGGCGGUUCUCUGGGACGGUACUGACGCUGAGACGCGAAAACGUGGGGAGCGAACAGG
rnacentral:rRNA from 1 species